UACGUAGGCAGCAAGCGUUGUUCGGAGUUACUGGGCGUAAAGGGUGCGUAGGCGGCUUUUUUAAGUUUGGUGUGAAAUCUCCCGGCUCAACUGGGAGGGUGCGCCGAAUACUGAGAGGCUAGAGUGUGGGAGAGGAAAGUGGGAAAUUCCCUGGUGUAGCGGUGAAAUGCGUAGAUAUGCGGAGGAACACCGAUGGCGAAGGCAAUCCCCCUGGGCCUGCACUGACGCUCAUGCACGAAAGCGUGGGGAGCAAACAGG
rnacentral:rRNA from 1 species